rnacentral:rRNA from 1 species
UGAGGAAUAUUGGUCAAUGGGCGAGAGCCUGAACCAGCCAAAUCGCGUGAAGGAAGACUGCCUUAUGGGUUGUAAACUUCUUUUAUACAGGAAUAAAAAACGGGGACGUGUCCCUUAUUGCAUGUACUGUAUGAAUAAGCAUCGGCUAACUCCGUGCCAGCAGCCGCGGUAAUACGGAGGAUGCGAGCGUUAUCCGGAUUUAUUGGGUUUAAAGGGUGCGCAGGCGGGCUUUUAAGUCAGCGGUGAAAUCUCGGGCUUAACUCCGAAACUGCCGUUGAAACUGGGAGUCUUGAGUAUGGAUGAAGUAGGCGGAAUUCGUUGUGUAGCGGUGACAUGCUUAGAUAUAACGAGGAACUCCGAUUGCGUAGGCAGCUUACUAAGCCAUACUGACGCUCAAGCACGAAGCGUGGGGAUCAAACAGAUUAGAUACCCUGGUAGUCCACGCCGUAAA